GAUGAACGCUGGCGGCGUGCCUAAUACAUGCAAGUCGGGCGAACGGACGAGAAGCUUGCUUCUCUGAUGUUAGCGGCGGACGGGUGAGUAACACGUGGAUAACCUACCUAUAAGACUGGGAUAACUUCGGGAAACCGGAGCUAAUACCGGAUGAUAUUUUGAACCGCAUGGUUCAAAAGUGAAAGACGGUCUUGCUGUCACUUAUAGAUGGAUCCGCGCUGCAUUAGCUAGUUGGUAAGGUAACGGCUUACCAAGGCAACGAUGCAUAGCCGACCUGAGAGGGUGAUCGGCCACACUGGAACUGAGACACGGUCCAGACUCCUACGGGAGGCAGCAGUAGGGAAUCUUCCGCAAUGGGCGAAGGCCUGACGGAGCAACGCCGCGUGAGUGAUGAAGGUCUUCGGAUCGUAAAACUCUGUUAUUAGGGAAGAACAUAUGUGUAAGUAACUGUGCACAUCUUGACGGUACCUAAUCAGAAAGCCACGGCUAACUACGUG
rnacentral:rRNA from 1 species